UACAUUCAUUUAGAGCAGUGUUGACUUUAAUGAGAUUUCUCAGCUGUGUCAGCUUUCACCACAUCAUUUCAACUGCAGGAUGAGGCUUCCCAUGCAAAACAUCUUCAGCAAACGUGAUCCAACUGAUGUUCUGUUUGGCCAAAGCAGAGCUGUGAUGCCUCCGUUCCCCCACGUAGCAUCUUCCACCAGCAAGAAAAGCUGAGACUCCUUGGAAUUCAAAAUGUUGAGAAGUGGACGUGAUGCAGAAUGUUCUGUUUUUGUUUCCCAAGAAUGCUGCUGCUGAAGUGCCUGUAAUGCUUCCUGUCCCAGCCUGGGGGAGAGCUGGACCAGUGGCCCCCAGCAUGCCCUGCUCUCAGGUAAUGCAUCCAGAAAAGCUCUGAAAAGACAGGCAAAGGGGGUGGUUGUACUUAUGGGCUCACCUAACGGGCCCUGGGAGGGUGGCAUGAGGUUCACCUCCACGAUGCUGCAGGUGAAGUUGCUGAAUUGGUCAUGCUAGAAGUGAAUAGGCCAACAUCUUGUCAGCCUGGUGCUGAUGGGCUGAAGGCACAGGGUGAGGAAGCACCUGGAGGUUUGGACUCGGCUGUUCUGUAAUCCAUGGAGUUCUCUGCUCCUGGCCUCAGCUUCAAAACAACUGAAAGACAUCAUAAGAAGCUUCAUUCUCA
rnacentral:lncRNA from 1 species